GACGAACGCUGGCGGCGUGCUUAACACAUGCAAGUCGAACGGAAAGGCCCUGCUUGCAGGGUACUCGAGUGGCGAACGGGUGAGUAACACGUGGGUGAUCUGCCCUGCACUUCGGGAUAAGCCUGGGAAACUGGGUCUAAUACCGGAUAGGAGCCAUUUUUAGUGUGAUGGUUGGAAAGUUUUUUCGGUGUAGGAUGAGCUCGCGGCCUAUCAGCUUGUUGGUGGGGUAAUGGCCUACCAAGGCGGCGACGGGUAGCCGGCCUGAGAGGGUGGACGGCCACAUUGGGACUGAGAUACGGCCCAGACUCCUACGGGAGGCAGCAGUGGGGAAUAUUGCACAAUGGGCGCAAGCCGGAUGCAGCGACGCCGCGUGGGGGAUGACGGCCUUCGGGUUGUAAACGCCUUUCGCUAGGGACGAAGCUUUUUGUGACGGUACCUAGAGAAGAAGCACCGGCUAACUACGUG
rnacentral:rRNA from 1 species